AAGGUAGCAUAAUCAUUAGCUUGUUAAUUGCAAGAUUGUAUGAAUGGUUGGACGAAAUAUUAACUGUCUCAUAUUAAUUGUUUAUAAUUUAAUUUUUGAGUUAAAAAGCUUAAAUUUUUUUAAAGGACGANAAAACCCUAUANAUCUUUAUUUUCAUUAUUAAUUUAUUUUUGUAUUUAUUUAUUUUGUGAAUUUUUAAUUGGGGUGAUUUUGANAUAUAAUUAACUCUUUAUUUUUAUUUUCAUUUAUUUUUGUUUAUUUGACCUUUUAUUAUUGUUUAUAAAAUUAAAAUACCUUAGGGAUAACAGCGUAAUUCUUUUUGAAAGUUCUUAUUGACAGGGGAAAUUGCGACCUCGAUGUUGAAUUAAAAUUAUUAUUAGGUGUAGUAGCUUAAUUG
rnacentral:rRNA from 1 species